UCGGGAAUUUUGGGCAAUGGGGGAAACCCUGACCCAGCAACGCCGCGCGAAGGAUGAAGUAUUUCGGUAUGUAAACUUCGAAAGAAUAGGAAGAAUAAAUGACGGUACUAUUUAUAAGGUCCGGCUAACUACGUGCCAGCAGCCGCGGUAAUACGUAGGGACCAAGCGUUGUUCGGAUUUACUGGGCGUAAAGGGCGCGUAGGCGGCAAUUCAAGUCAUCUGUGAAAUCUCCGGGCUUAACUCGGAACGGUCAGAUGAUACUGCUUUGCUAGAGUGCAGAAGGGGCAAUCGGAAUUCUUGGUGUAGCGGUGAAAUGCGUAGAUAUCAAGAGGAACACCUGAGGUGAAGACGGGUUGCUGGGCUGACACUGACGCUGAGGCGCGAAAGCCAGGGGAGCAAACGGGAUUAGAUACCCGCGUAGUCCCUGAGCGGGCUGGCAAGGCGCAU
rnacentral:rRNA from 1 species